rnacentral:rRNA from 1 species
UACAGAGGGUGCGAGCGUUGUUCGGAAUUACUGGGCGUAAAGCGCGCGCAGGCGGCUUCUUAAGUCCAUCGGUGAAAUGCCGGGGCUCAACCCCCGUUGCAGGCCGAGGAUACUGGGAGGCUGGAGACGAGUAGAGGCAAGCGGAAUUCCGGGUGUAGCGGUGGAAUGCGUAGAGAUCCGGAAGAACACCGGAGGCGAAGGCGGCUUGCUGGGGCUUGGUCUGACGCUGAGGCGCGAAAAGCGUGGGGGAGCGAACAGG